UCCGUAGGUGGAUAAUUAAGUCAGAGGUGAAAUCCUGCAGCUCAACUGUAGAAUUGCCUUUGAUACUGGUUAUCUUGAGUCAUUAUGAAGUGGUUAGAAUGUGUAGUGUAGCGGUGAAAUGCAUAGAUAUUACACAGAAUACCGAUUGCGAAGGCAGACCACUAAUAAUGUACUGACACUGAUGGACGAAAGCGUGGGGAGCGAACAGGAUUAGAUACCCUGGUAGUCC
rnacentral:rRNA from 1 species